rnacentral:rRNA from 1 species
CAAGUCGAGCGCCCCGCAAGGGGAGCGGCGAACGGGUGAGUAACACGUAAGGAAUCUGCCCUGAAGCGGGGAAUAACUAUCCCAACGGAUAGCUAAUACCGCAUAAUGAUGGAGACGGCAUCGUCUCUUCUCAAAAGGCUUCGGCCACUUCAGGAUGACCUUGCGUCCCAUUAGCUUGUUGGCGGGGUAACGGCCCACCAAGGCUACGAUGGGUAUCCGGCCUGAGAGGGUGUACGGACACAUUGGGACUGAGAUACGGCCCAGACUCCUACGGGAGGCAGCAGUAGGGAAUUUUGCGCAAUGGGGGAAACCCUGACGCAGCAACGCCAUGUGUGGGAUGAAGCAUUUCGGUGUGUAAACCACUGUCAGCAGGGAAUAAACGACAGCUUCGGGCUGUUUUGAAUGUACCUGCAAAGGAAGCCCCGGCUAACUUCGUGCCAGCAGCCGCGGUAAUACGAGGGGGGCAAAUGUUGUUCGGAAUCACUGGGCGUAAAGGGAGCGUAGGCGGGUUCUUAAGUUAGGUGUUUAAUCCCGGGGCCCAACCCCGGACCGGCACUUAAAACUGGGAAUCUUGAAUAGUGGAGAGGUCGGUGGAAUUGGAGGUGUAGCGGUGGAAUGCGUAGAGAUCUCCAAGAACACCAGUUGCGAAGGCGGCCGACUGGACACAUAUUGACGCUGAGGCUCGAAAGCAUGGGGAGCAAACAGGAUUAGAUACCCUGGUAGUCCAUGCCAUAAACGAUGAAUACUAGGUUUUGGGCCCGUCAACGGUCCAGAGCCGCAGCUAACGCGUUAGGUAUUCCGCCUGGGGAGUACGGUCGCAAGACUGAAACUCAAAGGAAUUGACGGGGGCCCGCACAAGAGGUGGAGCAUGUGG